rnacentral:rRNA from 1 species
UACAGAGGGGGCAAGCGUUGUUCGGAAUUACUGGGCGUAAAGGGCGCGUAGGCGGCCUUCUAAGUCGAACGUGAAAUCCCCGGGCUCAACCCGGGAACUGCGUCCGAGACUGGAAGGCUCGAAUCCGGGAGAGGGAUGCGGAAUUCCAGGUGUAGCGGUGAAAUGCGUAGAUAUCUGGAGGAACACCGGUGGCGAAGGCGGCAUCCUGGACCGACACUGACGCUGAGGAGCGAAAGCCAGGGGAGCAACGGG